rnacentral:rRNA from 1 species
UACGUAGGUGACAAGCGUUGUCCGGAUUUACUGGGCGUAAAGAGCGCGCAGGCGGUCGUUCAAGUCGCGUGUGAAAGCCCCCGGCUCAACUGGGGAGGGUCGUGCGAUACGGUCGGACUGGAGGCCAGUAGGGGGAUGCGGAAUUCCGGGUGUAGUGGUGGAAUGCGUAGAGAUCCGGAGGAACACCAGCGGCGAAGGCGGCAUCCUGGACUGGUCCUGACACUCAUGAGCGAAAGCGUGGGGAGCGAUCCGG